GGUACAAAAGCCCUAAAGCUGGAGCUGAUCUGAGUCUCUGGAGGAAUUAAUUCCCUGAGCAAUAUGUGCAGUGAUGCAGAGAUGGCCUACCAGCCACCUACAGGACAAGAUGGUGCAGAAGUAGGCAGAAGAAACACCAAGGGGGGCCGUGGGUGUCAGGCUAACUCACCUGGAUUUUGAUCUAUAAGAAACGGGCAAAGCAAAGGUCACGUGGGUCUGGGCCCUCACCAGUGCUCUGCUGACUGAGCAGCCCUGCCUUCCCCAGGCGCGCAGACCUCUCUGUAGCACUCACCUUGCCGCACCAGCCCGCGCUCCGAGGGCUUGGAGGCGUUGACACUGGUCAGCUGCUGUAGCAAGUCACUAAGGUGGCACUCAAUGGCCUCAUUUGUCUCCCGGACCACCGGUUCCUCUUUCUCCCGGGGACGGUCAGGCAGGGGGUUCUCCACACCUGAGAAGAAAACUCGGUCACUGGACAGACACAAAACUAGGGGAAGGAGCACAGGACUUUGGCGACAACUACAACUUUUUCACUAUCAGCGAUGUGGGGACACAGUCAGCACCAGUUUGAGUGGCAGGCAUUGUUAUACUGAGAGGUCUCUAACCCAACAGCCUAGCUUCCCAGGACAGCAGCUGCUGCUGUCACUCAGGGAGGCCAUCGGAAGGCACCAAUGACUCAAAACUGCACCAACUCAAGAGUGAAGGGCACUGUGAGCACCCAGGAAGUUGGAAAGACGGGUGGAUUCCUUUAAAUAAAGCCCCAGAAGCCUUUCACUGUAACCCUCUGCUUUUGUGCGCUUACAAACCGCCCAGGUCUGAUGACAUGCACACUAAAGCUUUGAGUUGGCUACGGUGGCCAGGGGGGAGCUUUACACUCGACUGGCUUGUUUCCCCAGACCAGCAUGUGCUAGUUCUCCUGUGAGACAGCACAAUUUUUUUUCUUAAAAUUUCAAUUAAAAAAAAAUAAACCACCAUGCUACAUUAAGAACUUAAGUGUGAAAUAAAAUAUUCAGGAUCUG
rnacentral:lncRNA from 1 species